GACGAACGCUGGCGGCGUGCUUAACACAUGCAAGUCGAACGGAAAGGCCCUGCUUUUGUGGGGUGCUCGAGUGGCGAACGGGUGAGUAACACGUGAGUAACCUGCCCUUGACUUUGGGAUAACUUCAGGAAACUGGGGCUAAUACCGGAUAGGAGCUCCUGCUGCAUGGUGGGGGUUGGAAAGUUUCGGCGGUUGGGGAUGGACUCGCGGCUUAUCAGCUUGUUGGUGGGGUAGUGGCUUACCAAGGCUUUGACGGGUAGCCGGCCUGAGAGGGUGACCGGCCACAUUGGGACUGAGAUACGGCCCAGACUCCUACGGGAGGCAGCAGUGGGGAAUAUUGCACAAUGGGCGGAAGCCUGAUGCAGCAACGCCGCGUGCGGGAUGACGGCCUUCGGGUUGUAAACCGCUUUCGCCUGUGACGAAGCGUGAGUGACGGUAAUGGGUAAAGAAGCACCGGCUAACUACGUGCCAGCAGCCGCGGUGAUACGUAGGGUGCGAGCGUUGUCCGGAUUUAUUGGGCGUAAAGGGCUCGUAGGUGGUUGAUCGCGUCGGAAGUGUAAUCUUGGGGCUUAACCCUGAGCGUGCUUUCGAUACGGGUUGACUUGAGGAAGGUAGGGGAGAAUGGAAUUCCUGGUGGAGCGGUGGAAUGCGCAGAUAUCAGGAGGAACACCAGUGGCGAAGGCGGUUCUCUGGGCCUUUCCUGACGCUGAGGAGCGAAAGCGUGGGGAGCGAACAGGCUUAGAUACCCUGGUAGUCCACGCUGUAAACGGUGGGUACUAGGUGUGGGGUCCAUUCCACGGGUUCCGUGCCGUAGCUAACGCUUUAAGUACCCCGCCUGGGGAGUACGGCCGCAAGGCUAAAACUCAAAGGAAUUGACGGGGCCCCGCACAAGCGGCGGAGCAUGCGGAUUAAUUCGAUGCAACGCGUAGAACCUUACCUGGGUUUGACAUGGAUCGGGAGCGCUCAGAGAUGGGUGUGCCUCUUUUGGGGUCGGUUCACAGGUGGUGCAUGGCUGUCAUCAGCUCGUGUCGUGAGAUGUUGGGUUAAGUCCCGCAACGAGCGCAACCCUUGUUCACUGUUGCCAGCACGUUAUAGUGGGGACUCAGUGGAGACCGCCGGGGUCAACUCGGAGGAAGGUGGGGAUGACGUCAAGUCAUCAUGCCCCUUAUGUCCAGGGCUUCACGCAUGCUACAAUGGCUGGUACAGAGAGUGGCGAGCCUGUGAGGGUGAGCGAAUCUCGGAAAGCCGGUCUCAGUUCGGAUUGGGGUCUGCAACUCGACCUCAUGAAGUCGGAGUCGCUAGUAAUCGCAGAUCAGCAACGCUGCGGUGAAUACGUUCCCGGGGCU
rnacentral:rRNA from 1 species